ACAACAUUUGAUUGGAUUUGGUAUCAUAUGUCCAUCCAUUGUCCCCUGGCUUCAACUCUACCCAGGCAUCAACCCAUCCAUCAGGGAAAGGAAACUGACCAUCCAACUUAUCAUCCCAGUUCAUGUCACCACAAAAAAUCACAUUUGAGUUCUUCUUGAGAAGGUUGAUGGCCUCCUUUGCCUGAUCCACACGUUCCUUGCUGAACAUCUGAUCCCAUUUUGGAGGUGCUGGACAUGGACUCUCUAGAUGGCUAGUGGCAACAACUAAUGACUUUUUUCCUGGAACUUCAAGCUCAGCAAUGCAAAGUUCUCUCCCCAUUAUUGAAUUCAUAAAGGGUUUAGUGCUGAAGGAUUUUACUGGCAGUUUGCUUAACUGCAAGCAAGGGGGCAUUAUUAAUAAUACUAGAAAAAAUGAAUACCAACAUUAAAUGAACUGUUAAUGACAUUUACAAAAAAACAAUGCCAACAUUAAUUCUUUAAGAUAUUAAUUUUUUUCCCACGUUUUACAAAAAAACAAUGACAUUUAAUGAACUGCUAAAAUUUAGUUAAAGGUCAAACAUAUUCGGUGAUCAGUCAGAUAAUCAAGGGCCGGUCCAGUAAAUUAAACACUAUCACUCAAACAAAAGAAGCAAAACCUGCAAAAGCUCAUUCAACAGCCAGCAUAAAACCAUGUUUCCAUGAUUCUCCAGUUCUUGGGAAAGAGUGUACAGCAAGAGAACUAUCAGGAUCCAUACUUGUCAGUAAGUAAAGUUAGCCAGAAACAUACUAAAGGUCAUGUUAAUUUGAAACCAUGUAUGAGUUGUCUCUGCCAUAACAGAGCAUGAGAGUAACUGUAACAACUUUCAACAUGGUGACUUACAAGACCACUAAUUUUGAUGCUUAAUGUAUCUAUCUCGCAGGCCUGUGAAUGGUGUAUUACAAGAACAUAGAAGCAGAAUCACCAUCCAGCACAUAUCAAAACCAUACCUGCAUGCAAAAGUAUCCUCUUGAACUUGCUAUUUCAGAAGAAACAGAGCAUUGAUAAGCUUUCCACCAGCUGGAUCGCUGAAAUAUGUCAUAUAUAUCUGGAAUAACCUCCUGCAAGGAAAAAUGGAAAUAGUUAAGAUGAAAGUCAACACAGGAAGAUCCAAUUUCAUGAGGUAGGGAACAAGAAAAACCUGUAAACAAAUGACAUCUGGUGAAUGUAGUUGAAUAAGUUCCCCAAGUGCUUUCAUCCUCCUAUGCAUCUCCAGGUCUUCUCGGAACCAAACAUUAUAGCUCAAAAUCUUGAAGGAACCAAGCACUGCUGCUGAAUUUGUAUCCUCUGCCACAAAUUUAAGAUGCUUUGAAUCGUGAAAUGAACAUAUAUAACUGGAACCUUUUAAUAAAUUCCCAUCUCCCUAGCAAGCAGUCAAAUUUUAUGAUGGUAAAACGGGUGCUAAAAAGCAAAAUGAAUGAAGCAACUCGACAAAACCAAUGCUUACGCAUAACCUCAUCAAUCCAUCAUUGUGGUUUCAGACAACAUAAAUAAACUAACAAAGCAAAGAACCAUUAAACUGAAAUAUGUAAAAAAAUAAAUAAAAUGAAAACAGCUUGGACUAUAAAAAUCUUCGUUACCUGUCAAAACAGCCACUCCCUUGUUUGAUGCCCUAGCACCUUGAAACGCACCCAAUUUCACACUAGCCCCAUCACUUUCAUCUGCAUAUACUAGAACAUUCAACAACAAAAUCUAGAAGCCUAACAAGAAGCACAAAAAAGAACUAAACUUUAAUUAAAAAAAAAUAUAAAGAAAAGCUGGCUAGAUGAUUAUUCAGGACAAGACAACAAGCUUAACAUGUGACUGACAACAAGCAAUGGCAUUAAUGUUCACAUUUUUCACACACUUUAUUACUUAACAUAACCUCUCUAAUCCACCACUAUCAAUGAAGACAACAUAAAUAAAUGACAAAACAAAAACCUUUAAAGAAGACUAACUAGAACAAAAAAAAACUUACUUACGACUCACCCUUUAGAACUGUGACUCCCUUGUUUGAUGAUUUAACCCCUUGAAACCCACCCAAUUUCACACUAUGGCCAUCACCUCCAUCUGCAUAGAUCAGCAACAAAACCCAAAGGACAAAGAACAUUACAAGUAACUCACAUUGUACUUAGCAUACACACAAUAAUGCAAUCAAACUCACAUUGUUAAAAUGAAAAUAGCAACAAAACUACAACCUCGGAAAUUUCCAUUUUGAGUUGCACAGAGUGGAAAUAAACUUACAGAGCAUAAACCUUUAAAACGACAAAAAAAGAAGAAGAACUUGAGCCACAAACAUUUGACUUACCCUUUAAAACAGUCACUCCCUUGUUUGAUGCUUUAACACCUUGGAAUGCACCCAAUUUCGCAGAAUCCUCAUCACCUCCAACUGCAUACACAAGCAACAUUCAUCCAUUAAGCAGACAAAAAACCCAACAAAAUCCAUAAAGCAAACAACAAACACACAAAAAAUAACCAACCUUCGACAUUGUUCAAAGACAUAACCCCACGAAACCCACCCUCUUGAUGAUCGUCAACUGAGUCUCUAACCUUCCUCUUACAAUGCCUUAAGGGCAUGAAAACAGACCCAACAGAAGAAUCCACAUCACCAUCAAGACCACUAGUAUCGGUCAAAUCCUCUAAACUAGAAAGAGAAAAAACAGAACCUCUAGUGCCACAUACUUCACAGCUACUGUUCUUAUACGGGUUCAAGAAAGUGCAAGCCUUGCAAGACCAUUUUGGGGUUUCUUGAUUUGAAGAAGAGGAAGGUAGUGGAGGGGGUGAAGGAGGUGAGAGACAGAUUUGGCAAGUGGGUUUUGGUGAUGGAGAGUUAAUGAAAGUACACUUCUUGCAAGACCAAGACAUGAGGUUUGAGAGAUGAACAGAAAGAUUGCAGCUUUUACUAGGUUUAGAAAGGGGAGAGAUGAUGACGAUGGGCACGAAGGUUAUUUUUUGCAACAAAGAUUGCAUUUUUAUAAGUUCGGAAAGUUCAAACUAAUUUGAAACAUUAAAGUCCAGCUUUGGAGACAAAGUGCUUCAAGUAUGGCCCACUGAAGAAUCAAACGUGUAGGUGCUUAAAUGGGACCUAUGGUCAGCGGAAGGAAUUUGAGGGGCCCCAUAAUGGCCAAUUAUUUUAAAAGAAUGUUUUUUUUUUUUCAGUUUAAAGCUGCAUAUUUUAAAAUUGCGUUUAAUUUGAAAAAAAAAUUAAAAUUAAAAAAUAUCUUAAUAUAUUUUUAAAUAAAAUAUAUUUUUAAAAAAUAUCUUCCAUCAUACUAGGGGUGAGCAAAAAAACCGAAUAACCGAUUAAACCGACAAAACCGAAUAAAAAACAACCAAAAAAACCGAACCGAAAAAAAAAACCGAAUUAACCGAUUGAAAAAUCACAAAAAAAAUUCGGUUCGGUUCGGUUUCGGUUUUCAAAGUCUGAAACCGAUUGAACCGAACCGAACCGAACCGGUUCAACCCAGCCACCAUUAAAAAAAAAAAGGUAUAAAUAACAUGUUUUUUUCGUAACCCUAAACCUAAAGUAACAUUCUGAAGACAGCCGCCCCCUCCCUUUAGUUUGCUCUCUGCGUCUCCCACUCUCUCCUCCCUCAUUUUUCUUUGUACUCCACAAUCCAUAUCCCACAAUUUUUAAGAAUCGUUAAGCUCCUGCUUCUCCAUGCUUAUCUGUCCUCCUAUUAGCUGUCCUCAUAUCAAAGGCACACCUUUCUUCACUUGGUUUUAAUUUUUUUUAGUUCAGCCACGCCUCUCUUACCUUUUCUUUUGCUUUUAACUUUGUAAUUGCUAUAUAAUUUUUUAUACCCAUGUAACCGAAGAAGAUUGUUAUGUCAAACCAGUGAAAAGUUUUUCUGUGAUUUUCUUGAUGUUGGUCUCAUGAGAACAACAACUGGAUAUCGGGUUCGGUUAUUUAUUGAAGAAACCGAGUAUAAAAACACCACACACUCGAUAGAUGGUGUAGAUCUAUAUAAAAAUUUGUAAUUAGUUUCUGAUUGUUUUGGUUUUACAUUUGAAUAAUACAUAUCUUUUGAUCUUAAUUUUUUUUUUCAGUGAAAUAACUUCUUUUCUUUCCUUUCCUUAUGUUUUGUGUAUUUUUUGUGCAAAGAUUAAUUUUUGAGCAAGGAUCUAGCAAAAAGAAAACUGGGGUUGGAUUUCUGGAUAUUCCUUACCGGUUUAGCUUGUUGAGAAAGCCAAGAUUUCUCUCAUAAGCACAAAGCUAUGAAAAUAGAAAUAAGACGAACCGGUUUAAACGGUUUGGAAGGAAAAAAAACCGAACCGGACCGAACAUGGUCGGUUUGAACCGGUUUUCGGUUCGGUUCGGUUCCAAAACUUGAAAAAAAAUAAUUUCAAUUUGGUUAUUUAUUUUGGCCCAAAACCGGACCGAACCGGAAAUGAUAUCUUCCAUCAUACACUCUUAAUCCAAAACAAAGAAAUUUCAAGAUUGUUUUUAAAUUAAAGAAUUUAAUUUUUUUUUUAAAAAGACAAAAACAAAGAAAUUUCAAGAUUGUUUUUUUAAUAAAUUUAAAGAAAAUAAUUUUAAAAAAAUCAAAUUAAAUUUUGAUUAGCUUAACUCUAUGCUAAAUUUAAUUUAAAACUUGAAACUUCUUAUUUAAUUUUGAGUGGAUAAAUUAUUAUUAUUAUCACAGUAAAAUCAAAUUUAAUAAUUAAUAAUUUGUUUUUUUAUUUGUUGGUUUUACAAUAAGGGUAUCUUAGGUUAACUUUGUAACUUGGACACAAAGUUCACCAUUAAAGUUCAUUCGAAACCAAUUUUAUAUCUCACAAUCUUAGCUUGAAGUUUGAAUGAUUAAGAAAGAAGCUCACCUUAAUCACAGGUCAAACCUUAGUUUAGACUGUUUGUCAUGAUCAUUACGAGAAGAUUAGCCUAAAAAACUAGUGAAUAAAAAAGAUAAAAAAAAUAAAAAGAAGAACCUGGGUCUUAAAGACUAGCCUUUUCACAAACUUCAUCAUUCCUUCUGGCUUGUUUAGAGGAAGGAAAAAUCUUGAAGAUACUCCCAUUAUCUUGCUCAUAAUCAUGGCCCCGAAAAAUCCUUCUCUCUAGGCCUCCAUGUUUGUUGCGGUAUGCUCUUGCUUACAAGAAAGUAUAUAGUGCUAACCUACUUUUUUGAACACUUUUGAUUCCACAGAAGAGCCCACAAAAAAAUUGUCAUCACUCCUUUCACAGAGAAGACCCUACCAAGAACAUCUCUCAAGUGAGAAUUUGCUUGUACAAUGAAGAAUUUGUGGACUAAAAACAGCCUAGCACAGCAAUAGCCAAUCAUCAUGAAGGAAUUAAACACUAUUACAUUACAAAAAAAAUUGUUUUAUUUUACGCCUCAAGACAUCAUAAAGGGAAUGUAUAACAAAAUAGAGAAGAUUACAGUCAAGAGAGUUUGUAAUGCCUUGUCUACUGCACUCAUUCUACUGCUUUUGAAGCUGAUUAAUCUUGAACCACCCGCUGCGUUACUUGGAUUGGUUGUGUUCACCACCGUCCUCGCCUUAUUCGUUAUUUUUUUGCUGCAUCCGAAGUUGGAAAAUUGGUGAGAAAUUGUUGCAAGGUGUUUUAAUGAUUUUGCUUUUUGCACUUUCCAAAGAAAUUGUUCUCUUUGACUACCAGGAAAGGGAAUGCAAAGAAGCAGAAAAGGAACCAAAGUGUGAUGUCCUUUCGAAUAAAUUAGGCCACCAAGUAGAAAAAAAGGGUUUCUUACCUUCCAGGAAAUAUACAGCUCCCAUGACCUGCCAACAAGGAAAAAAGAUGUUAGGUUUGAGAAACAUAACAGGUGAAAAAACAUCACAAACAGGACUCAUUUUCCUCAAGGUAACAGUCAUUCGGUAGAUAAAGAGCAAUGAUGGAGUUUCUUGCAAGAAUGUAUAAAAGAAAGAGGAUGAAUGGCCUUGAACUGUUGUUACUGUCCUGUCCUGACUCUAUGGGGCUCUCUUGGCAUAUAGCGUCCAAGUUGAAAUCAUAAUUUCCUAGGUUGGCUGUUUCAGCACAAAAUGUUAUUCCAUGCCCUUUCCACAAUCCAAUCACUCAAGAAACCAUGUGACUCUGUCAGGUAGGAAUCACACAAAAUGUACCCUUGAAGUCACCUCAAUAGUAUCCCCCGAGGAUUAUGAUGGGAUGGUGCCACCAUUCACUUUCCUUUAGUGGUGUGGCAUAAGGCAAUUAGCACCUUUUUAACUUUUAAUCCUAAAUACUUGAGCUUAAGGUAUCUGUUUAACCACUCAAGAGCCUUAAUGCACUUUUAGUAGAUGCACAGCAUACUAUUUGGUUGUCUAAGCAGUAACCACACAUUCAAUUUUGCAAACAGACAACAGUUAAAUAACGAUCUAUUGAGGACGAAAUUUGAAGAUCAGAUCCUAAACUUUGUUAAAGUUCAAUGAAAUAUGAAAGAACUGUGUUUAUUCAAGGCAUUAAGAGUGAAAAAUGCUUACUUGGAUCGGUAGUAGUGGUCAUGGCAAUGCCCUUGAAAUCACAGGACCCGGAAGCCCUUCCUUCCUUCUGGUAAUAGCUAUCAAAUGCAUAAGAGGCAUGGUUCUUAACAUUGUUAGGCUGAUAACAAUUCUCCCCUGGCUGAAUCUCGCUACAAUUAGCCCUUCCUGGUCCACAUACCCAAUCCAAUGCUGCUUGCAAUGUCUUUGAAUCAACACCAUCCAUAACAAUACAAUAUGUUUGGUUGGUUGUAUCAUUAGCCAAGAAAGUCCCACUUCCAGAUACAUGAAGCAAAUAAACCGGUGUCGAAUUCGCAUAAAACAAUCCCCAAUUUGCUUCUGAUACUGGUGGUGACCUCAAGUCUUCAUUGAACAACUCGUAUAAAUACACACUAGAAGUGAUUUCUGGGUGCAAAGGAGUCCCGCUACGAUCAAGAACAUGCUUAAUCAAAUUAGAAUUAUAAGUAUCUGCAUUGUCAAUUGUAGCAUAAGGUUCUUUUGAAUCACCCUUUGAAGGCCAACCACUCUCGGUAACAAGAACCACAACAUCAGUAAAAUUCAUAUUCUUCAUCGAAAAAUAAGCAGCAUCAACCAUAGCAUCAAGAACAUUAGUGUAAUGCAACAAAGUAUUAGGAUCAACCAUUUCCUUGGAUGGUGUCAAGGGCUUGAACAAAGAAUUAUCAAGAGGCACCACUCCUUUAUUUUGCAUAAACACAUAGUAAGGAUAAAAAUUCAUCAUCAAAGGUGACCCAGUUCUUGAUAAAAAAUGAAGCAACGGUUGAAUAACCGAGAUCCAACUCUGAUUAAAAAAAGACUGAGAAGGUGGAAAUGAAUCAAGAAUUAUAGAAGCAGAGUGUGGAGUUGAAAUCUUUAUCUGAUUAUGCAAAUUUUCAGCCACCAAAGCACUAUAAAGAGACUCAAUAGCUGGCAUAAGCAAAGGAGCUGAAGAGGGUACUGUAGUUAAAACCUCAUCACCAACAGCAAUUGCAGUAAUUACAGUCUGUGGAUAAUAAGCAACAACAUUUUUACCAAUCCAAGAAGCUGCAGUUGUAUUGGAGGAUCCAAUAGCAAGAAGCUGAUUAUUUGGAACACUAAUAAUGACCCGGAUCUUGGUGUUAGCCAAGGCCUUGAGUAUGUCGGGGUCUACAUCAUAAAGCUUGAUAUGUGUAACCUUUUGAAAUUGUAGAAAUGAAACAAGUUCUGUAGCUGACAUAAGAUUGGACACAUCUUCUCCUAUGUUGAUUCCCACAAAUGGCUCAUUGUCUUGUUGGUCCUUGAUUUGUGCCACUGCUAUUUUUGAUGAUAAAGCUGCAAAUUUGCCAGAAAAACAUUAGAAACACAAAAGGGAUUCUUCCUAGUUUCUUGAAAUAGUGAAUAUACAAGUGGGGUUUUUCUCCAUUACCUUGUGAUGAUAUAAAAAGUGAAAUGUACAGGAAGAAGAAGACACUGCAGAGAGGAAGCUUAGACAGUGCCAUAACUGAAGAAGAAAUUGAGCUUCACAACGUCAUCUUCUGGUUCUGGUUCUGGUUCAGCUAAAGGUUCUUGCAUUUGUAGGCUUAAUUUUUUCGUUUUCUGAGUGUUGGUGGGUUUUGGUUUGGCUUUGGAGUUGGAGUUGGAGUUGGCUUGUUGACCUCAAGAAAUCUUCCAGUAUCUAACAAGAAUCAAGAAAGCAAUCCCAUGAACUUACUUGCUAACAAGAUGAAUUAAAUUGUUCGGAAAACUUCAAGAAUACCCCUAACUAGAUUACUAGUUUCAAUUUCGUCCCCAAACAAAAUUUUAUUCCUUCAGCUUCCGUCAUUUUCAGUUAAAUCUUUCCAUUCAUGUUUGAUCAUGACUUCCAUCCAAAUCAUAACUUUCUUUUACCUCUUUAUUUUAAUGUUUUUCAUCAAUGAUAACUCUUUUUUUUUUACCAUUGUUACUAUGUUUCUUCCUUGAGUUUAUAAGAUUUGUUUUAUACCUGAUUUUCUAAUAUUAUGGAACGUACGAGUAAGAUCAAGUUUUCUACGAUCUUGGAGAACAUUAUUGUCCCUAUUAGAAGAACUUCAUUGAAAAAUCCAAAUUAUUUGGGUGUAAAAUCAAUAGAAAAGGUUGUUUGGGGAGACAAUCGACACUACUCCAAUAAUUGGGGGGUAUAAUUGAAGUUUGCCCUAACUUGUUCGUUUAUCUAUGUGAAUUCCCUAAAGUGGCCUUGUGAACCGACAAGUACUUUAGUUUAUUUGCAACGUGCUCUUAAAGACAAAGGGUAAAGGUUUGAAACAAGAAGUGGAGCUUUAUGGUAACUUCAUCUAGAUUGACAUGGCUGGUUCUUGAAGUGAUGGAGUUGCAGAGGCUGUCAUUCCAGAGAGAGACGUUAGAAACCUCUGAUAUAUGUAGCCCCCCAGUACAGUGCACUCAGCUGCUUGCCAGAGUGUCCUUCUUUAGAGUUCGGACUUGUAAGGCCUCCACGCUCGACAACAUUUUAAUUGCAGUAUGGUUUAUUUUUGUUUAAUUAAACAUACCAUAUAUAUAUAUAUGCUCUAUUUGUAAUAUUAGAAGACAAUUGGACAUCUUUUGUUCAAUCUUUUCAUGUCAUAUCUUUUGUUCAAUCUUUUCAUGUCAUGUGGCUUUUAUUGGACGAUUUUGCUAGUAAUAAAAAGUUGGAUAAAGAAACCCAAAUCACUUUCGAUUGGAUAUAGCAGGGUAGUUUUGCCCAAAUUAUAGAUUACAAGAAAUUAAAAUAAACAAAAAAUACUAAAAGAGAUCAGAAAUCCUGCAGAUUAAGAGUGAUUUCACUGUGGAUUUAAAAAGUGUUUUGCGUUGAAAAUUUUGUUGAUCUCGAGAUAUGUCUGGUGUAAUUUCUUCUCAGGUUUUGUAUGUGCGGUUGAGUUAUUGGCAACGUGGCUUCUUUGUUAUCAUAAUAUAUACAUAUUUUUUGUGUUUUUGUCUCAAACUAUGGUGAGGGCCGGACACCAACAUACAGUUUUCCUCUCAUAUGGAUCUUCCCUUUCCACCAAAUAUCACCAAACCCUUCACUGGCCAUUGCUAUGCAUCACCAAACACAUUGCCUCUCUGUGUUAGAAAAAGGGUGGGGCUUAUUCAUUCGAAGAUCGCUUGUCAGCCAAGGAAGAAAGGUUUUUGAUCUCUUCUGUGCUUUGCUUUUAGUUUUUUUUAGUGUCCAUAGGCACAAAUAAGAUUUUUUAAACAGAAUUGUCUUCUACGGUGGUGUGUGCCGUUUCGCUUUCUGUUUUAAUAACCCAGAUUUUAAAUGAUGAAUUCUGAUGAAGGACCACAUGAUUGACAAGACAGCCAUGAGCAGUAGAUGAAGGCUACUUUUCAACUCGAAAGCCCUGGGGAAGUUUCUUGCAUUCUUGCUGAAAUAAUGGGAUAGGAUAUUAUUAUAACAGUGUGCUUGCAAAAGCUUGAAACUCAUCCCUUAAGAAGGAAAGAUUUAGACUAUACAUUUGAAGUUUAGUACCUAAUCCAACCAUUGUGCAGAAUAUUGUGUUUCAACGCCCUCAGUACUUCCAGCAACCUGCAAUGAUGCUUGAGUAAUUGCUAUCACAAUAACAUUUGUUCAUUUUCAUUCAUGUGCACCUUUAUACAUGAAUUUUCUAUAGUUUUUUCUUUCUUUUCUAAACAUCUAUGGUGCUCAAUUAUGGAGUAUUAAGCGAAAAUUGAAUUUUUCAGGGGCAAAAUUCUUAAAGCAUCAAAGGAUUGGGCAGAGAGAAAUAUCCAAGUCAUUGUUAUUACUGAUGGUGAGUGUAUCUUCGGGCUUGGGGGUCUUGGUUGCCAGGUAUUGAUGCUCAUAAAUUUAUUUACAAAUUGGAUGUGCAAACCACUUCUUAUCUCUUAAUGAUGCAAUCGUUUUACAUUCGUUAAGGAAUGGGGAUUCUGGUAGGAAAACUCUCUCCAUAGACAGCAUUAGGAGGAUUACUUGCCUUUGCAGUAAGGAUAAAUCUGCUAAAUUUACAACAAUUUCAUACUCAUUUUUCUUCUAUUAUUUAGACACACCUCAAUCACUGCUUUACUAGAGCUAUUAGUUGUCCCUUGCUAUUUAGUUACUAAAACCUUCCAACUGCAUUCAAUACAUACAGGGCACAAACAAUGAGAAGCUGUUGAAUGAUGAGUUCUAUAUUGGGCUUGGAGAGAGGAGGGUAACUAGACAGGUAGAGUAAUUUUACUUUCUUCCAUUUCCAAUCGACUGAUAUUUCUUCCUUUCUUUUCUAGAUUUUAAAUCAUUCCAAGUCUGAAGAUUUGUGUUUUGUUAUUUAUUGAUCUUUCUUUUGAAUAAUAUUGCUUUUGUAUUAAGUGAUGUGGACUGAAUUCUUUCUGGUCGAGCCAAUGGUUAAAGAAGUUGUGAUUGAUGUCGCUCUUUCGAUAUAUAAAUCGGUGCUUUUUUUAUUUAUUUUCCUGAAUCGGUGAGGUUGCUGCUUUGAAUAUUGUUGUCAUUUUUUCAUUGAUUUUUAUUGCUUUCUCAACAAUGUUUGUGUGUUGGUUGUUGUUAUGUGGGUUGUUUGUUCGCUUUGAGAGUUGCUACUCAGUGAGUUCGUAACCUUUUCCAUGACUGGAUUAUUGAAAUUGGUGCUUCGUUUUGGAUCCCGUAGUUGUCCUUUUCGUGAAUUCCUGGGUGUGCUGGCAUUUUACUGAGUUGAUAUACAAAAACACUUUAUCAAUAAUAGGCAACUACAGGGUGCCAAGCAAGCUAUUAAUGAAGGAAAAUUUGUAGUGCAUUGGCAGCAGCCUGCAGAACAUUGGCCAAAGAGAUCACUUAAUUGCGAUCUUCAACUCCUAGGAUCCUUGCAUUCAAAGUCUUCUUAAAAUCUUCUUUUUGUGGUCGAACUGAUUAACUUACUGGUUCUUGGCUAAAUGGGUUGUAGACCAGGUGCAUUAUUUUAAAACUUGAUUAGGAAUAAACUGAGAAAAAUGGUACGAGUACUAUUAUUCUUGAGUAGUUUUAUGGUGUUGCCAGUUGAACAUGUCAGCUAAUACAGAUGAGGGGCUCGAAGGACAACCACAUAAGUUGGCAGGGUGCUUUUUUUUUUUUUUUUUAACGUUGUUGUAUGGAUAAACUUGUUUGCAUCUUGAUUAAUCCCUUGGUUUUUAAAGCUAAUGACCAUGUAAGCCUCUAAUAGCCCUAAGAAGACUCAAACUCGUGAUUAUUGGAAAGUAAACCCAGGAUCUAAUCAGUUAAACUCCUCCUCGGGGUUAGGGAAGGUGCAUUUUAAUUAGUUAAAUUGUUUGUGUUGGUCUUUUAUUUUUUUUUCCUGUCAUUUCUUUCCACUAAUUCAAUGUGCAGUGCUGCUUGAAAUGUUUGGUUUGGUCGAUAUUGGUUAAAUGUGGUAGUAUUUAAUCAUCAAACUUGCUCUAUUAGUAUGGUGUGAGCAAUUACACGAUGCCUUUGAGUGAAUGAAAAAACAGAGGCAUUCAUGAAGUUUUUUUUUUAAAAAAAAAUCUUUGACUUUUAAAAAAAUCAUCGAACUUGUUCUAUUAGUAUUUAACCAACGAACUUGCUCUAUUAGUACAUUUGUUUCUUUUAAAAAAAAUCAUUGACUUUUUAGCGAGUAUUUUUUAUUAUUAUUAUAUUAUUAAAUAAAAUAUAAAAGAACAAAGUAAUUGAACAAGGCCAGGUUGAUGACCUGAGGCCUGUAUUUAACAGAUCUCAAUAUUUAAAAAACAAAAGCGAAUGCAUUUUGGAUUAAAAAAAAAAAUCUUAUUACUGCUUGAAAAAGCAUUAAUGCAUGCACGAAACUAUUUUUAUGCGUCGAAAGAUAAUCUGUGGUGGCGGGAAACCUAUCUAGUAAUUUUCUAUAAUAUUAAGGAAUUAGCCUUGCUGGAAGAAAAAAAAAAGGUAAUCUCUUCUUUGAUUUUCUAAGUUUGAUGUGAGCAUUUUAAAGCAAUUCAUUUCUUCUAAAUGUACCAUAAUUAUAUUUUCAUUAAAUCAUUAAAAAAUCCAAGAUACAUGGAAAUAAAGUUUUAUGAUGAUUUAAUAAUGUAUCAUUCUUCAUAAAUAAGAAAGAUAGUAGCUUGAUGUAGAAAGCCUAUUACUUGCAAAAUAAUUCUUAGUCAAGUCAAUAAAUAUGUAAAGAGAGUCAAAUAAAAGAUCACUAAAUCACAAUAACAAAGUAGUUUGUUUUUGUUUUAGUAUGUAAUUCAUGCUAAGAUAAAAUAAUAUUAUGUAUAGGGGCGGAGUCAAAAGAUAAAAUUAGGGGGGUAAGAUUUCAGUUAUAUUAUUAUUUUAGUUAAAAUCAUAUAAAUUAUCAAGGAAGGGCUGGAAAAACAAUUUUCUUGCAGGGGCCCCAGCCCCUGCUUGCCACCUCCUGUUUCCGCCUCUAAAUUUAUGUAUAUAUGUUAAUAUCAGAAAAAUUAUGAAUUCUUUACCUAUAUAGCUUAUAUGUCAUUUUACUUAAAUAACAGGGCUGAAAAACUAUAUCACCCUCAUAACAAUAAUGAAAGAAUGUUUGUUUUUGCAUGUUUAUAAAUUUUAAAUUAUAUGUUUGUUUAAUGAAAAAAAAACAACGGAUGGUCAGUGUUGUUUUAAUGAUAGUUAUAUUAAUACAAUAGUUAGAUAGGUGUUACCAUGAUUGCGAGACAAUAAUACUUGCAUUGAUUGCCAGUGUCAAUGGUUACUGUAGUGAUAAUAAUAAGAUAAUAAUAACUAUUUGGUUCUUUAAUUGAAAUUCUCGGUUUGAAAUUUCAGUAACACAGGCUUUUGAUCUUUUUAGAAAUCUUAAAUGUAUCAUUAACUGGAUUAAAUAGUUUUGUCUUUGUUUCCCUUUUCAUGGUGCCUUUUUGUAAUUUCUUUUCUCUCUCAGUCUUCAUGAUCUACAGUGCUAUUUUAUAUAUAAUUCUCUCUAUUACUAUUAAAAAAAUAAUGAUAACUAUUUAAAUAUAUAAUAAGAGAUGCCAAGUGUUUUUAUACAAAGACAGUGGCAUUCAAUUUUCUGAAGAAAGAGGGGAAAAAACAUCACAAGCAGAGAGCACUGCUUGCUUCGGGGUACCCCAUGCUCAACGCUGUUUGCUUCAGUUUAACAAGAUUUUUAUGCCUUAGACCGAGUCAUCGGCUAAACCAGGUUUUAGGAGGAGGAGGUUUUAACCACAGAGAGAAAGAAAAAGGAUGUACUAUGCAAUAUCUAACAACCAAAAAAAAAAGAGAGUAAAAUCAUGAAUCUGCAAUCAGAAGACAAGCAAUUAAAGCUUACGCAUCAAUGAAAUAAACAAAAAAACAUUAAGAUACAACAAAAUCCAGUAUAGAUAGCAGAAUCGGACUAAAAAAUGUUUGCAGGAAAUUGAAGUACACAUCAGAAGGAACUAAAUACCCCUAUUGAACUGCUAGAACUCAGUUACAAAUAUACCACUGAUCUAUAACACGACUGCAGAAAAAGAAAUGUAGGAGCACAAGUUAUUUUAAUUGUUCAACACACGGAAUUUUGUGUCAAAACUCAAAACAAUAUGUGCAUGGUUCACAUGUAAAUGCUUUCGAAUUUUGGUUCUCUAGCGAGCAUGGAUGUCUUAUUCUGGUUCAACCUGCCACCUGAAAUGUACACCUUUUCCGAAACUGUUGAGACUCUGAAUAAAAUCCUGACAGCAUGCGCGCAAUUCCUCCUCACUUGCAUCAAAUGUGUGGAUCUUGACGAUCUUGAGUUGUGUCAAGAAACAAGGAGGCACUGGAUCCAAUGCGAAGUUUUUAAGUUUCGACAAGAAGAUACCCUGCAAAUCAACCAUACAUAAUUAACAGAGAGGGAGAGGGAGAGAGAGCUGCUCAAUCAAAGGCUACAAUGUUUAUUUCAUUUAUACAAGUUUUCUGUACAUUCAUUCAUUUACAUGCUGAGUCCAGCUUUCAAAACUCACUGAAUAAGAUGAUUCUGGGCAAUCCGUAAAUUGAUACUAGGUAUGACAAUGUAUAACAUUAAUAGCCUUGUUUGUUUGGUAGAAAAUUAUUUUUUAAACUUUUCUGUAUUUGUUUGUCAUUAAAAAAAUUGGUCAACGAAAAACACUUUCCGGUUAAAGAAAAAUAUGAUUUAAUUUCUAGAAAAGUGUUUUCCUUUUAUUUUGAGUAGAAAACACUUUCUAGAAAUUGUAAAAAAUUAAAAUAUAUCAUAUUAUUUACUGAUUAUAAUAAAUUUGAUCUUCAAACUUUUGAUUGCUAUAUAUUUUAUUUUGAAUUUUUUUUUUUAAUUUCACCCUUAGAAUUUGAUUUAAUUUAAUUUUUAUAUUAACUUUGGUCCCUAUUUUUAUGAUUGUUAUUUGUUUUUCUCUUAUUAUUUUUUUAAUUGAAAUUUUUUAUCUAUCAAAUUUGGUCCUUAUUCUUUUGAUUGUUACUUAUUUUAUGUGAAAUAAUUUAUGAAAUUGUAAUUAUUAUUAUUUUAAUUUCAUCAUCUUUCAAUUUUUUUAUCUGUUAGAUUUGAUCUCCAUUAUUUUAAUUGUUAUUUAUUUUAUUUGAGAUAAUUUAUAAAAUUAGAUUUUUUUUUAAUUUCAUUCUCAUUCAACUUUUUAAUUUAUAAUAUUUGUUUCUUAUUAUUUUAAUAAACUUGAAAAAAAAUAUUAAUAAGUUAUUUUUCAGCUCAUUUUCCAUAACAUAACUAAACACUAGAAAGUGUUUUCCAACUUAUUUUCUAUGAUACUAUCAAACAUCGAAAAAUAAAUUCACUUUCUAAAAAUUUACUUUCUAAUAAAAUUAUUUUCUUAAAAAAAAUAGUUUCCAACAAACAAACAGGUCUUAGUUAACCUUGCAGUAACAAUAAACAGUUCAUAUCACUUCGAUCCAAAAAGUUCUAUACAAAAUCUGUAACAUCAUGCUCUGCAAGCUGUUCCAAGCCUUAUCGUCCAGCUAAAAUCGUCACUUGACUUUACAGACCUGAUAUUGUUAAAAGCACACCAUAAUGAUCGCUAGGCAAGACAGGAAGCUCCAACAUCUUUACCUCUCUUCUCACUUUCUUCUCCUUGAUAUAUGAUAACCCAGGUAUUGCCUCCUUACCAAUUAUGUCAAUUUUACUGAUCUUGAGAAGGGCAAGUAAGCAAGGUAACAAUGUAGAUUAAUUAUUUUUAUCUGCUUAACGUUGAAGCUUCUAUUUUUCCUCUGUUGCUUGCUCUAACGAUUGAUGGUUUGCUUAAUAUCUUGAUUAUCAACAAGAAUUAAUCAGCUCUAAUAUCAACAAGAAUCAGCUCUUUGCUAGAAUUCCUGGUAUGUAUUGUGUAUUAUCUUGAUGGGUGAUGGCUUUAAACUACAUAUAGAUUUUUAGGGUGAGAGGAAGCAGGAUUAGGUAUAUGGUUGAAUAAAUUUUGAAAACAUUUUUUUUUCCUGUUUUGUAUAUCUAUUUUUGGGUUCUAUUGGUGGUUUGGUUUUUCUGGACAAGUGUUGGUCUCUUGAUUCUCUUGCUUCGAUUUUUUUUUUUUUUUCUCUUGCUCGCGAAAAGGACACGAUCUAUUUUUUUUUUCUCUUGCUCGCGAAAAGGACACGAUCUGAAAAGGACACGAUCUAUUUUUUUUUUCUCUUGCUCGCGAAAAGGACACGAUCUGAAUGUUUAUGCUUCCACAUGUCGUCGCUGGCCUGGGCCAUAGUAGCCUCUUUAACUACUUUCGUUGAAUGAUAAAUACUUUCGUUGUCCUCUUCCAAUUUGCUCCAUAUUCAGUGUUUUUCGUUCUUUUAUUGGUUAUUUAGAUCGUGUCCUUUUCCGGACCAGUUAAAUCUUCCACUUUUUUCUGACUCGACAUGAUUUUCUCAUAUUUAUCAGCUAAUCUAAUAGUGCCUCUAUUUCUUUACGGGACACAUAGAUAAUGAUAAAUACUUUAUGUGCGUGUUUUUCGUUUUUCAUUAAGCAAGGAUUCUUCUCACCUGUGUUCAACUCUCCAAUUUGCACAAGGUUUAGCUACUUUUUGUCAGAAACAGAUACUCUCGAUUCUUGUCAAUACCACCUAGUUUUAGCCAUCAACCAUUCUUCGAAAGCGGUGGAAAAACAUUCCACACAUAAAUAUAGGAUCCUAGAUUUCAUUGAAAGCACAGACACAUCUAAACCCUCAAUCCACUAAACCCAUGUAAAAAUUCAACAUACAAGUACACUGUCAAUCUAAGAAGAUCCUUUUCUUUUCCCUGAACUAAAUAUUGAUAAUAAAUCUAAUUCAAACUCGAUUAUAUUAGUAUUAAAAAAGAUUUAUAAGAAAAGCGAAUUAAAAAAAAAGUUGCAUAUUUUACAUAUUAUUUUUUAUAUAUUUUUUAGCAUAUUUUAUCAAGCAUGUCUAUUUAACUUUGGCUUUAUAAUGCAACUUCUGCCGAGUUUUGUAUUUAGAUUUUUUUUCUUUUCAUUUUCUCUCUUAAAAUUUUAUUUAAUUUUCUUUUGUAUCAACUGAUUUAAACACUACUUGGAUUAGUCAGUUCAUACUCAAUUAGUCGUCAAUGAUGCAAUGAAAAAAGAAAAAGUGGACAGAUCGACUAACGUUUUUGCUUCAAGACAGCGGUUAUAUAUUUCAAAGCUAAUAAAAAAACUAACAUUGUGCAGCGAUUCAAAGACAAAUAAUCCUCACAUAAAGUAGAUGCUAUAUAUACAUAUAAAGAAGAAGAAAAAGUAACCACCCCAUUGUUGGAAUAUUAAAGAUCAUGAUUAGUGUUAAUUCCUCAGUUUUGAUACCAAAAAUGCAAAAGCUUUCCCCCUAAGUUGUCUCAACUGCAUGCUACGCCUUCUUGUAUUCUGCAUCUUUAACCCUCCAGGUAUCUUGAGCCAUCAUCAAUUGUUUUCUCCAGCGUCUGAAUAAGAGCAGAAAAGAAUCAAUUAGUCAAAACUUUUAUCUUUGUCAAAUUCAUGAAAUUUAUGCAUGUGAUAAUUCAAAGGCUCAAUAUCAACAGAGAGAUUGGAGAUCACAAUCCGCAAUUCUAUCAACUUAUCUGAAUAUGCACCCAAAUGGCUGAAUUGAUUUUUUCUUGCGACAAAAUCUUUCAGUCAAUUGUUUUACUUUUACACCAUUUCGUAUCCAAAAAAAAGGGUCUGGUCAGAGUCUGUGUUAGUUGUUGUAGGAAUGACAUGCAUAGCUAUGUAGGAAUCAAGAGGUAUAUUUUUUUUUAGCACAAACAAGAACUCAAGAAAAUGCACUCAAAAAUCAAAUCAUUAAGAGACUCAAUUACUAUAGCACAGAGUUUCCACCCUCAUGGUAUCUUUAGCCAUCAUCAAUUGUCUUCUCCAGCAUCCCAAUAAACUCAAGAGAACAAAAGAGACUCCAUUAGUCGAAGCUUUUAUCUUGGUCAAAUCCACGAAAUUUAUGCUAAUUCUAAAGCUGAACAAAGAGAUUGGAGAUCAGAAUCCACAAAUCUAACAACUUAUCUGACUUGACAUCCAAAAGGCUGUAUCUUUUUUAUUUCUUUUAGCACAAACCAAAAAAACUCAGGACGAACUUCAGGAAAAACGUUGCCAUAGGGGGGAGAGAUAGAGAGAGAGAGGGGGAGAGAGAGAGAGAUUCAAUGGCUUGCUUAGCAGAUACUGAAGAAACACAAUCAUCAAAUGUGAGAGAACUUGCUAGAGACCAAGAAAGGCUAGAAGUAGAGUAUACUCGAACACUGAGUAGACUCAACUUAUGUGAGUGUAUAACUAUAUUGAUUGAUAGUAUCAUACCAUCAAAGAUUAUAUUAAAAUAAACCCAAGACUAAACCAAACCCUAGAGGUUGAAGACUCUCUAGGGGAUCUGAAACCAGACCGAAAGAAGCAAAGCAUAAAUGACACAGCAAGAGUAAGGUGAUCACCUCAUAAGCCGAAGAAAAUGUCUUCAAGGUGAGUCUCAAAUCUGGUUCAACUUUGAUGUGGUAGGUUACUUCAUCCUGAAUAUCUUGUUCCCUUGUUAGGACGAUAACAUCUCUAACUGUAAGGCUCUUCUCACGGACGUAGUUCAACCAGUCACCUCUCAUGACGGGUUUUAGAUAGCCACGAGGCCGUUUAGAGAGCUCAAAGUUCCAAACUUUCCCGGUGGGAUCUCUUGCUUGAAACCAAAUAGCCGUUUGACCCUCGACCAUCGGAAAAGGCCCGAGUGCAUCAGUGGGAUAAGACAGACAAGAUUUGAUGUCUGUGCGAGCGAGUCGUUUACGUAUAAUCACGGUGGCCAUGAUAGAGCUAAAUGGGUAGGGGAGAGUUAAGGAUGAUAUGAGAGAGUUUGCUUUCGGUGAAUUGUGAGUGAAGAGUGGAGACUGGAGAGUGCGAGCUGGCUGAUCGCAGAGUAACGGAGCAAGAGGGGGUAUUUAUUCGUUAAAGAGAUGGGUUUAGAUGUGAGGGGGAUCAGAUUUGUCAUCCGCUAUUAGAUUCGGUGUAUCAUGAUGGCACAAGUAUCAUUUUCAAUUUUUUCUUACACGGGGAAAAAAUGGUCUAGAGAAUAGAAGAUAUUUGUCACAUGCUGAAAUGAAAAUUACACAUAAUUAUAUUUGUUUUAACUGUGAAGAAUUGAAGUACUAUUUAGAGUAAGUAUGAAAUAUUUUUUUAAUACUUUAGCAUGGUGAUAUAUUUUUAAUUGUAUUUAUUUUUAAUUUUCUUAAAUUUAAAUAGCAGCUUCCAUCAUCAGGUAAAGUUCUAGGAAGCUACGUCGCAAGAAAGCCAAGAAAUUGGCCAAGUGGCUGUUUGACCAUACAAGUGCUUUGAUGGGGUCCACACGGUACUCAACCAUUUAUAUAUCUUAUCUCACACUGCAUGCAUUUUCAAAGAUCUCGUAUCUAUAUAGAUAUUAAAUUUCAUAUGUGUUUGAAACUGUAGUAAAUUUUGUUUUUAAAAAUAUUUUUUAUUUAGAAAUAUAUUAAAAUAAUAUUUUUUUUAUUUUUUAAAAUUUAUUUUUCACAUCAAUAUUUUAAAAUGAUUCAAAAAUAAAUAAAUAAAAUUAAUUUAAAACUAAAAAAAUUAAUUAUUUUUAAAAGCACGAUACUAUUACAAUCUCAAACACUCUUUUCAAAAUACUUCAUCAUAUAAUCAAUGAGACUUCUUCAAGAUAUUUCAUCAUAAUUAAUGAGAUUUAUUCGGAGUAAAUUAAAAUAGAGAUUACAAGUAUUUUUAAUUUAAAAAUAUAAUAAUAUUAAUUUUAAAAAAAAAAACCUUUAGGUAAACUCCGUUUAAACAGCAAUUCCGACAGGCCAAAAUCUCUCACCAACUUCGAUGAGGUUUAGAUGUUUUUUUAUUAUUAUUAUUAAAAAAACGGUGCUUUCUAUACUCGCCAGUGAUAUCUAGUUUUAGCAUACUGUCAUUAUUUGAAAAACAUUCCACAUGCACAGAAUCCCGGACGUCAAUGAUGCCCUUCCACGUAAGUCUUUGUUGUUCUUCAAACUGUUCAGUCAGAACCUCUUUAUGACCGCAAAAAACUAGGUUCUCUCAGCAGCUUCAUUUUGAUUUUUUACUACUUUUCAAUCAACUUUUUUCAUAUUUUUUACAAUUUUUAUUCCAAGACGCAGAAUGUGAUUGGAAGGGGUAUUGCAUAAAAAAUCCAAAAAUGAAAACAAAAUUCCAAAUCAUGCAACACAGGAUAGUCCAAUAACAAACAAAUAUAGAGCCAGGCCUUGCGAACGAAUGAAUAAGAAAUUCCGGCAGAUUUUUUGUUUCAAAACUGAGGAAUUAAAAUCUUAUGAUUUUGAAAUUGGAAACACUUACUAUCUUUAUUUUUUUUUAUGAAAUAAAUAUUUACUAUCUUUGACCGUGUCUAAAUAUUCCCAUCCAUCGUCCCCUGGCUUCAACUCUACCCAGGCAUCAACCCAUCCAUCAGGGAAAGGAAACUGACCAUCCAACUUAUCGUCCCAGUUCAUGUCACCACAAAAAAUCACAUUUGAGUUCUUCUUGAGAAGGUUGAUGGCCUCCUUUGCCUGAUCCACACGUUCCUUGCUGAACAUCUGAUCCCAUUUUGGAGGUGCUGGACAAGGACUCUCUAGAUGGCUAGUGGCAACA
rnacentral:lncRNA from 1 species